GCAGCGAAACGCGAUAGUUAAUGUGAAUUGCAGAAUUCAGUGAAUCAUCGAGUCUUUGAACGCACAUUGCGCCCAUUGGUAUUCCAUUGGGCAUGUCUGUUUGAGCGUCAUUACAACCCUCGGUCACCACCGGUUUUGAGCGAGCGAGGUCCCCGGACCCGGCUGGCUUUAAAGUUGUAAGCUCUGCUGGCUGCGAGGCCCGACCAGAACAUAGUAAAACCAUGCUUGUUCACGGUCCGCGGUCGAAGCGGUACGGCCUGAACAAUACCUACCACCUCUCAGGUUUGACCUCAGAUCAGACAAGGAUACCCGCUGAACUUAAGCAUAUCAAUAAGCGGAGGAAAAGAAACCAACAGGGAUUGCCUCAGUAACGGCGAGUGAAGCGGCAAAAGCUCAAAUUUGAAAUCUGGAGCCUUCGGCUUCCGAGUUGUAAUUUGAAGAGGGUGUUUCGGUUGUAGCCUUGGCCCAAGUUCCUUGGAACAGGACGUCAUGGAGGGUGAGAAUCCCGUACAUGGCUGAAGGCUUGCUUCCAUG
rnacentral:rRNA from 1 species